GUGAUGAUUAUGAUUCUCAGGGAUUGGCAGAUUGUUCCUGAAAAUGGAAGCAACUGGAAGAACACAGAACAUUAUGCAGAAACCAGUUUUUUACAGGACGCUCUGCGGAAAAAAGUUUUUCACAGCUUGCAAAUCAUUACAGUGCAUGUUUUGUCUGGAGCACCAUAUAUCUGGUACAGACAUCAACCCUAUUUGCUUCUUAACACUUGCUUCAAGAACCAAUAUACAGGUGGAAGAGAUGAAAAAAAUUACUGGAUUAAGUUUGAGGGAAGAAAGAAAGCAAGAGGGUAAUGUAGCUGUCUCAUCGACUCAGCAAUGGGCAGUUAACAAGAACAAAAGGACAAGAACAGCUGCUGUGUAUGAGCAAUAUGGAAACAGACAUUGUCAUUGCUGACCAUUUAUGACCACUCCAAACCUGUGUACUAUGUGAUUGAGCCUGAUGUUGAAUCCCUUGGUUCCGUUUCUCAAAUAUUGCUUCCUAAAUAACCUGUGUUGGAAGGGGAUUGCUUUUUCCUGGGUGGAUCUCUUGGUGACUUAACCUUCAGUGAGACACUGCCCUCACUGGUGUAAACUGUCCACUCGAGAUUCCUUAAUGAACAAAGCCUCAGCCCCUUUCCCAGUGUUCCACAAUCAUGUUUGGAUAACAUUUCCAAUCCAAGAAUAGUUGACAAGUUCCCAGGAAAUAAUUCCUGAUCAAUAAAAUGUUGUUUGAGCAAUUUGUUGUUGAUGUA
rnacentral:lncRNA from 1 species